CCUACGGGAUGCAGCAGUGAGGAAUAUUGGUCAAUGGACGAGAGUCUGAACCAGCCAAGUAGCGUGAAGGAUGACUGCCCUAUGGGUUGUAAACUUCUUUUAUAUGGGAAUAAAACGUUCCACGUGUGGGAUUUUGUAUGUACCAUAUGAAUAAGGAUCGGCUAACUCCGUGCCAGCAGCCGCGGUAAUACGGAGGAUCCGAGCGUUAUCCGGAUUUAUUGGGUUUAAAGGGAGCGUAGGUGGAUUGUUAAGUCAGUUGUGAAAGUUUGCGGCUCAACCGUAAAAUUGCAGUUGAAACUGGCAGUCUUGAGUACAGUAGAGGUGGGCGGAAUUCGUGGUGUAGCGGUGAAAUGCUUAGAUAUCACGAAGAACUCCGAUUGCGAAGGCAGUUCACUGGACUGCAACUGACACUGAGGCUCGAAAGUGUGGGUAUCAAACAGGAUUAGAUACCCCGGUAGUC
rnacentral:rRNA from 1 species